GGAGAGUUGGCAGAGUGGUCGAAUGCGGCGGUCUCGAAAACCGUUGUACUCGCAAGAGUACCGAAGGUUCGAAUCCUUCACUCUCCGCCA
rnacentral:tRNA from 1 species